GAACCUUACCAAAUCUUGACAUCCUUUGAAAACUCUAGAGAUAGAGCCUUCCCCUUCGGGGGACAAAGUGUCAGGUGGUGCAUGGUUGUCAUCAGCUCGUGUCGUGAGAUGUUGGGUUAAGUCCCGCAACGAGCGCAACCCUUAAACUUAGUUGCCAGCAUUUAGUUGGGCACUCUAGGUUGACUGCCGGUGACAAACCGGAGGAAGGUGGGGAUGACGUCAAAUCAUCAUGCCCCUUAUGAUUUGGGCUACACACGUGCUACAAUGGACAAUACAAAGGGCAGCUAAACCGCGAGGUCAUGCAAAUCCCAUAAAGUUGUUCUCAGUUCGGAUUGUAGUCUGCAACUCGACUACAUGAAGCUGGAAUCGCUAGUAAUCGUAGAUCAGCAUGCUACGGUGAAUACGUUCCCGGGUCUUGUACACA
rnacentral:rRNA from 1 species